AAAAAUGUUUGGUCUCGUGCCAAAUCAACACCUGUGUGCACUAUUGUCUGUAUUUGGUAGUCUAGGAGGGGCGACCCGCAAGGGCCUGCCCAUAUACUCCGUGACCCAGUCAACUUUUAGUUGGUUGGUGUCGGGUUACCGCCAUUUUGAAAAACCUUUUGUUUGUUUUGUUUUUGUCUGAACGUAGAGUUAAUCUUCAUUGAUUAAUGAUUUGAAUA
rnacentral:misc_RNA from 1 species